GGCCUCCCAAUUCUUACCAUAGGCUGUGUUCUUUAUACUGACUAUAUAGGAGAAGGUACAGUAAAUAUACCCCAUAUAUACCUCAACGCAAGCCAUUUGCCUGGUCUGUAUUGUGAAUUGGGGGACAAAA